GCCGGUGUAGCUCAGAAGGUAGAGCACCUGAGUGAAGAUCAGGAGCGCGUAGGUUCGAGACCUACCGCCGGCA
rnacentral:tRNA from 1 species